GGUAACCAUGACGAUGACGAUCCUACAUCAUCCUAGUAACCGUGGCAACAUUCAAACACCCUCUAAAAUUGAAUCUUCACAAGACGUGGUGUUUAAUUAGUUAGGUGAGUCAGAGUUGCUGCCCAUUAGGUGGAUGCCCCCUGAAGCUAUUAUGUUGUGUAAAUUCACAAUAGACAGUGACGUGUGGUCCUAUGGUGUAGUACUGUGGGAGAUAUUCUCAUAUGGUAUUCAACCUUACUAUGGGAUGAGCAAUGAAGAAGUGAUUAAAUAUGUACGGACUGAUAAUGUAUUGAGGAGACCCCAGGGGACACCACAAGAGAUAUAUGAUCUUAUGUU